GGCCGGGGUGCACACGGUGGCCUCCAGCCGGGGGCCUGGGGGGGGGUUGGCAUUUGUUUGGAACGCAUUUCUUAGGGAUUUGGGUGCUGUGGGAGCCCCCCCACCCCCCAGCGUUGAGGAUGGAACCCAGAGCUUCGCACCGUGCCCCUGAGCUGCACCCCCGGGCCUGUUAGGAACAAAUUUCUUUAGGGCCAACCUAAGGACAGUGCGCUUCGGGACCAUGGGGCAUAGCUUUGCUGUUCCAAGCUUUGUCCCGAAAAGCAGUGAGGGCAGAUGGGGUACCCAGCGGCCGGCCUGGGGCACCGCCUCCUCCUGGCGCUGUGGGGGCAGGGUGGCCAGGGCGGGCAGUGUGUACCCUGACGCGUCUGUCGCUCUGUCCCAGGCAUGCACUCUGCUGGGCCACCCUGCCCGGCGCCUGUGUAGGGUUUUGCCUGCAGAUCUUCGGGGCACCCUAGCGAAAGUACUAUUCACACCCCCAUUUUCCGGGUGCAGACCUGGGGUUGAUGAGGUUAAGUGACAGCCAGGAAGCUGUGGGGCACAGUUGGGACCCCAGGCGGUGACUGCAGACCACACGUUAGAAAUCACGACAUCAGUUUCCCCGGCACAAUGGGGACGCUGUGCCCGCGAUCCAUGAGUUUCAGGGGAGACCAAGUGAGUGUGUGUGGGAGCAGUGGGUGGUCCCCAUGGGUCAGGAGCCGGGGGAGGAGCUGGGUGUCACGGUGUCUGUGUCACCCGGGCCCCUGGGUGGUGUCCCUGUGUGUCGGAGGCUGCCGGUCCGGGCCGAGGUGUGAGGUCUGUGUGUUUGUGUCUGAGCUUUGUGUUGCCAAACAGCAGCCCCUCCCUGCUGACUUGGGGACCCAGGCUGAACUCUGCCCUCCCUGGGAACUCCCUCAAGGUGCUGGGCAGAGCUGCAGUAAACAGUGGGAGGAGGCGGCCCUUCACCUCGUAGGGAGCCCAUCCUGCCCCUCCCUGUUUCCCAGGCCUGGGCGGCUUCACCUCUGACCCUCUGAGGAGCUGGGCGAGGCUGGGCCGGCUUCACCCGCUUCACCUUGGCCCAGGGCUGCAGAGCUGAGGUGGGGAUCCUGCAGGGCACUGCGGUGCAGAGAGGGACCGUUGUCCUGCCCACCCAGCCACCUGCAGUGCCCCUGGCUGGGGCAGGAGGGGAAGGCAGAGGGGCAGAAUUUCCACAGGCCCUUAGAGGUCAAGGUUUUCGGAAUUGCAGCCAACGCAUCCUUUCACGUCGCAGAGCUGGAUUCUCCCAACAGCCGCCUUCCCUCUUUCCUACGCAGGGAAAGUGCUCACCUUAAUAUUUGAGAAAAAAGGAUUGUAAAGAGAGAAAUUAUAGAAAAAUGCAUUGGUACCGAAGUGAAGUGAAAAGCACUUCGAGUUUUCUCCUGGCUCAGGAGCACCCCUGUGCAUCCUGAUUUUGACCCCAUUUUGCCUGACCUUUUUUUAAAUUUUGAUGGUACCGCCGAUUGAACUUGGGACCUUGCACGCCGGCCCUGCCUUAGCUUCUAAAGAAACUUGCAUAGUGUACUUCCUAUGCGCCCGCUCCCCUCUGCCCUUCCUGUCAUGGAGGUGCAGACUAGAAAAAGGGGUGCAGAGAAAGAAAGAGGUGCAUGGGAUCACCCCCGCUUUCCAGUGCUGCCCUGGGAGUCGGGGACUACUUAGGAGGAGGAAGGGCUGGGCAGUGGCUUGGGGACAGCCAGGUGGCCACCUGGAGAAGCACUGUGGUCAGAGCAAGGCUUCCAUCCGCUUGUCCCCGCUGCAGAAGGUGGGUCUGGUCCCGGGUCCUCUCCCUUCCUGUCUGGCCCAUGCCUGGCUGGCGUGGCUGUGGAUGGAGGACAGGGGUCAGACGGAGGCCUGCGGGUGAAUGGCGCUGCUGGGGAGCGCCCCUGGGUGGUGGGCGAACUAUCGGAAGAGAGCAGGGCUUGGUGGGGGGAGCAGGACUUGGUAGGGCUGACGUCUGUGUAGCCACGGCUCUGUUUACAAAGCCUAGUGGUGUUUACAGACUGCUUCUCAUUUAACGCUUGCUCUUGGUCCUCCACGGGGGGACAGGAGCGCUGGUGGCCCAGUUGAGGCACGCUCUGACUGACAGGGUCCCCGGGUGAAUGGCUCAGCCAGGGUUUGGUCCAAUGCCCGGAGCGCAGGCCCUGGUGAGACCCGGCUCCAUAGGCCAGGGGUCUGUGGCAGGGGGGUCUUGGUGUCCCUCGUGCGGCUCUGGGCCCCAGCUCAGGAAGAGGGGACGCUGGAGUUGCAGGGGCUUCCCUGGGGUGUGCGUGAGACCAGAGGAAGUAUUGGCUUUCAUGCACUAGCAAGCGGGGUGCUGGGGCCGAGGCCGGAGGGGAGGGGAGGCGCCACCCAGGGGCCCUGAGCAAUGGCCACCGAAGCCCAGCGGGGGCACCAUACAGUGUGUGACCCACCCAGGCACAGUGAUGGAUACCGUGAUCUCGAUGGAUCCUCUAGGUUUGCACACUCUUAAGAUUUUUUGUUUGUUUUUUGGUACCGGGGAUCGAACUCCGGUCCUUGUGCUUGCGCAGCAGGGGGCGAAACCACUGAGCUAAAUCCCCGGCCCGAUUUUUUGUUUUUGAGACAGGGUCUUGCUAGGUAGUCCAGGUUGGCGUAGAACUCGCAGCAAUCCUCCUGCCUCAGCCUGCUGAGUGCUUGGAUUACAGACGUGUGUCACCAAGCCUGGCUGCCUUGGAUAUUCUUGUCUGGACCUCAUUCAUUCAUUUGUUCAUUCAUUCAGGAGACACGUACACGGCUCUCGCUGUCUUUGCCCCGGAGUUGGAGGGUGGGGGUCCGUAGGGACAGGUGUCCCCUGUGUGGAGUUAGGACCUUCUGCCCCUCACCGAUAGGUGACGGGAGAUUGGUAAGGAGGUGGGGAGCAGGCCGGGGUGUCAAGAAAACCUGCUGGGGUGGUGGCAGGUCUUGGGGGACCGAGUUUACCACUGCCGGCAAACACUAAGUCUGACUUCAAGGCAUCCACCACUCAGGUAAACAAACUCGUGCACCGGGGCAGGGCCACCGCCCUCUGACCUCUGGCCCAGCCUGGAGCCCACAUGUUUGUUGCUGGCUUUGGGAGAGUCGGUGAGUGAGUGUGGGUUUGUGCGGGGUGAGGCUGUUUGUCUGUGUGUGUAGUUAGGCCUCCUGGAAAGAACGAGUGCCCGAAGUCAGCCGGACCUGAGUUCAAGUCCUGCCUCCGUGGCUCCCAAGCUUUCCAGGUUGGGCUGGUCACCUGACCCUGCCGGCUGCAGUUUCUCUCUUUGAGAAAUAGAGGUGUCAGCCCCUGGCCCUGGAGCAGGGGGCUGGCUCAGGAGCCCUGGUCCCUGCCGCUGUUGUUUUCCGAUCUCCUGGCUGCUACAGCGGAGUCAGUUGGAGGUGCUGGCCGCAGAGGUUGGGCUCCCUGUCCCCAGCCUGGCCAGGGCCUGGGUCUGGGCUGGAGACAGCUGUGCCUAUAAAGCAGCUGAAGCUGGAGGCUGGGGGAGGUCCUGGCAGCGGAUUUAUUUUGGGCCUGGCUGCCACCCGGGCUCCUGUUUCUCUUGGGAGCCUGCGGGGGAGGGGCGGGGAGGGCAGGGG
ensembl:lncRNA